rnacentral:rRNA from 1 species
AUUGAACGCUGGCGGAAUGCUUUACACAUGCAAGUCGAACGGCAGCACGGGGGCAACCCUGGUGGCGAGUGGCGAACGGGUGAGUAAUACAUCGGAACGUGCCCAGUCGUGGGGGAUAACGUAGCGAAAGCUACGCUAAUACCGCAUACGAUCUCUGGAUGAAAGCGGGGGACCGCAAGGCCUCGCGCGAUUGGAGCGGCCGAUGGCAGAUUAGGUAGUUGGUGGGGUAAAGGCUCACCAAGCCGACGAUCUGUAGCUGGUCUGAGAGGACGACCAGCCACACUGGGAGUGAGCAACGGCCCAGACUCCUACGGGAGGCAGCAGUGGGGAAUUUUGGACAAUGGGCGAAAGCCUGAUCCAGCCAUUCCGCGUGCAGGAUGAAGGCCCUCGGGUUGUAAACUGCUUUUGUACGGAACGAAAAGGCUCUUUCUAAUACAGAGGGCUCAUGACGGUACCGUAAGAAUAAGCACCGGCUAACUACGUGCCAGCCGCCGCCGCGGUAA